rnacentral:rRNA from 1 species
UAGGGAAUCUUCGGCAAUGGACGAAAGUCUGACCGAGCAACGCCGCGUGAGUGAAGAAGGUUUUCGGAUCGUAAAACUCUGUUGUUAGAGAAGAACAAGGACGUUAGUAACUGAACGUCCCCUGACGGUAUCUAACCAGAAAGCCACGGCUAACUACGUGCCAGCAGCCGCGGUAAUACGUAGGUGGCAAGCGUUGUCCGGUUUUAUUGGGCGUAAAGCGAGCGCAGGCGGUUUCUUAAGUGUGAUGUGAAAGCCCCCGGCUCAACCGGGGAGGGUAAGUGGAAGCGGGGGGACUUGAGUGCAGAAGAGGAGAGUGUAAUUCCAUGUGUAGCGGUGAAAUGCGUAGAUAUAUGGAGGAACACCAGUGGCGAGGGCGGCUCUCUGGUCUGUAACUGACGCUGAGGCUCGAAAGCGUGGGGAGCAAACAGG